CAGGAUGAGCCCAGCGCUGAAUCUCUUUGCUGUAAUGGUGAAGCGAACUGUAGCGUAUAGAGGYGAUUUUUUGCGGUUGCGUKCGGCUUAAGUUCCCCUUGACUGGGGUUCCAUAGAAGGUGUUAGGCCUGUUAAGCUGUGCAGCGUCCGUGAAUGAUCGUUUCUGGGAGUCGGGUUGUUUGGAAACACAGCCCUAAGCAGGUGGUAUACUCCAUCUAAGGCUAAAUAUUGCCAUAAGUCCGAUAGCGAACAAGUACUGUGAAGGAAAGUUGCAAAGAACUCUGAAGAGAGAGUUAAAAAGGACGUGAAACUGAUAAGGUGUAAGCGGAUAGAGUUGACGAACUAUACUCGUAAUCAGCCGGUUGGCUUGUGUGCGAUGUUCGAAUGUGUCGCCUUUCGGGGUGGAUGUUCGGAUAUGCGGUACGCGGUUGGCCGGUGCACUUGCGAGUGGUGCGCUGAUGCGAACGAUUGAGCCGCGGGAAACGCAUUAAGAGGGCACUUCGGUGUGUACUUGGUGCGUGAAUAACGGUUUCCCGAUUGUUCGGAUUUUGCGAGUGCUAACGGCCGUUGGUGGUUGCGUCGACGAGGUUUCGUGGGGAUCGCGUGCGAUUUCGCUUAAUUUCGGCGGCGUAACUGUUCGCGAAUGUUGGCACUUCAUCGGUGUAAAAGUCCACCACCUAUUCGUCCCGUCUUGAAACACGGACCAAGGAGUUUAACGUAUGCGCAAGUCAUUGGGUGUUCAAAACCUAAAGGCGUAAUGAAAGUAAAGGCUUCCGUUGGGUUGCUGAUAUGUGAUUUGUGUUUGCCACGGCAGCGCAAAGCAGCAUAGUCCAGUCUAAAUCGCUUGCGAUUGGGCUGAGAUAGAGCGUAUGCGUUGAGACCCGAAAGAUGGUGAACUAUGCCUGAGCAGGAUGAAGCCGGAGGAAACUCUGGUGGAAGUCCGAAGCGGUUCUGACGUGCAAAUCGAUCGUCUGAC
rnacentral:rRNA from 1 species